ACCCAUCUAAACUUUUGACACCCCAAACCACCUGCGGCAAGAUGCUCCGCAGCUCAGCUCUGCACGGUGAGCUCAACCAUCUCCUUUUGUCUGCGUCGCAUUUGCCAGCUGCUGGUUUCACGGGAUGCCCCCCAGCUCUGUUAUCAAUAAACAACUGUUUCCAUUUCCCUGUCUCCAUGCCACAGGCAGCAUUGCAGAUCUUGAGGACAGCAGCCCCUGAGCUCUGUCACUCCCAAGCUGAAGAGUAUUGGGAGUUUCGUAACUUAAGUCACAUAUAUAGGGGCCCUUCCUUCUUUAUUUUUAAACAGCAGCAGAGCGGAGGAGCAGUGGAAGAAGGGUGCUUCCACGUGUGAGAGGAUUGCUCAGGCAGCUGAUGGCCUGACCACACCUAGGGUGUUACCUGCUCCUACUGGCAAAGAGCAGCAACGAGCACAGCUCUGCAGUAGCAACUGACAGCAGCAACAAACUUGACAGUGCUGUGGAUCUGCAGUCAACCCUGAGAACCUUUUAUGGCACAUUUACUCUCCCCACUUCUAUUGAAAACAAAACAAAACAAACAAACAAACAAAAACCAACAUGCUCCCCACAUUAUUCAUAUCUAACCUGCUCUGGCUUCCUUUGAGUGCCUGCUUGGAGUAAGCUUAUGCUGGGAUGCUGGACUGGGCUCUCCCUUCACCAGCCUCUGCUACUGAAGUACUGCAGGGCCAGCUGAAAAAUGCUGACUUGCACCAUUUAGGAACCAGCACUUUGACUUCAGUGGGGCAAAUUGCUGCUCCCGCGUUGCAGAUGUACUGCUGUCCUCCUGCAGUUUGGGAGGGUUUGUGUCAGCAUGGUCGUGUAGCAUCACCACCCGGAGAUCCGCUCGGGAUGCUGGCCUGCAGGUGCCUGGUGCUGCAAGGCUCUGUCCCCUGCCAGCCCGAGGGGCCUGGUUCUGUCCUCCUGCAGAUCUGAGCAUGGAUCCAGCCUAUUGAGGUCCAUCUAAUUCCAGUUAGAGGCUUUUCUCUCAGUGUUGCUUGGGUGCAGGCUGGACACGCUUCAUCCCACAGGUGCUGCCUGUGUCAGAUACUAAGGGCUGGAGUCUCAGCAGGGGAAAACAGGGGAGCCAGCCCCUAAUACCAAACCUUACACCAGACAAGCAGCACCCACACCUGCCCAGGCUAUCCAGAUGCUUGUUGUUCCUCUUCCUUCCCCAGAGAGUUUUGAAAGUCCGAUAGCUCAACCCAGAAGCAAUGCCAAGAGCAUCAGGUACUGAAAACAAGACAAACUGCCUUGCUGUGUGAAAGUCAGUGUUACAGAUUAACCUGCGGGAAUGGCCGGGAACAAGUCCAUUCACUUCCUCCCCAGAGGAAAGCAUGAAUAUCUUUCUAGGGAACAGAGAGGUUUUAAUUAGUGCUCCCUUCUGCAUAAAGCCUGGCUCUCCUACUCCAUCUCCUCAGAUGAACACAGCUAUAAUUAAGAGGCAGCAGUGUCAGGAAUGAGAGCAGGCUCCAGCCUGUGAUUUAUUAAGGGUUGUCGUGGGUGCAAUUACCUUUCUCUCUUCCCCUCUCCCCAGUGUUUUCAUAAAGUGAAUUUACUGAUGAAAGAGGUGUCUCAGGCUAGGGCAAAUAGAUGCCUCAGUGCUUAUCUUCAGCACAGACACAGCAAAGGCAGAGUCACUGCUUCUUUCUCCAUAGAGUUACCAUUGAAAGCCUCAAACCUGGCUUGGAGAAUUUCAUAUCUAUGAGUCCCAGUUCUGGCCCAAGCCCCAGGCCUCCAUGACUCCCUGUGAGCCACACCUGGACCAAGGAGCAGCACCCACCAGCACCCUCCUCACUGCCAACCAUCUCCUGAAGGAUGAAGAGUGACCCCGAAGGAGUCCUGCUGCUGGCAAUGAGGAGUGAGCAGCAGUAAAGGACAAGGCACUUGCUUUAUCCUCAGCAAGGAGGUGGGUUAGGGUUAGGAUUAGGGUUUGGGUUUUGCUUUGCAUUUGCUGGUGCAGGUAUCUAAGUGAGCCCACAGCUUGGGUGGCAGCUCUAGUUCUCCCAGCAGCCAACACCUCCAACACACAGAGACCUUCUGAGUUGGACACAGCCCUGGUGUGAAGCCAGCACAGGCACCUUGUCACCUUGUCCCAUCUCAGAAAACCACCGCGAGGAGCAUCAAGUGAGCGGCACUUAGUUCCUCACUGGAGCUCAGUGAUCGGCUCCCAGAUAGUUCCCACUUCUGGUCGUCUUCAGCGAGAGGGAAGCUGCAUGUAAACAGUCUGGGGGAGGCUGGUGUUGGCUCAGACUGUUCCUGCUCACUUGAUUUAAUCACCGUCCUGCCAGCGGCAGUUUUUUACUUUCUGAAUUACUUAGCAAUGGUCAGCAUUACUGCUGGGUGGCUGAACUUUGGUUUAUUGCCAUUCAAAUGGUCCACAAUUUACCUCUGUAGGAUAUAAAUCUGGACAGGCUCAGACUGAUAAGAGAGUGGGGAAAAAAAAAAAAAAAAAAAGGAAGUAGGAAGAACAAAAUUCAAACAAAUUCAAAUUAUGAAAAGGUUUGAGGUGCCAGUACCCCAGCUGGAAACCAGAGCAAAGAAAGCAUUUGCUGGCUCUUUUCAAGGUGGUGUUGAAGACCCCAGCCCACCUAAUGCGGAGGGUUACUGCCCUACUGGUCAUCGAAGGAGCCACCCAGGGCAAGGCUGGGCUGGAGAGGCCUGUGAGCCACGAGGGCUCAUUUGUGCCACACCUGCCCAUCACGGCAGCCAGGACUGCUGCCA